GGGAAGGUGGCUCAGUGGUAGAGCGCUUGCCUUGCAGGCAUGAGGCCCUGGGUUUGAUUCUUUAGCUCCA
rnacentral:tRNA from 1 species